CCUACGUGAGUCAGCAGUGAGGAAUAUUGGUCAAUGGACGAGAGUCUGAACCAGCCAAGUCGCGUGAAGGAUGACUGCCCUAUGGGUUGUAAACUUCUUUUAUAUGGGAAUAAAAUGUUCCACGUGUGGGAUUUUGUAUGUACCAUAUGAAUAAGGAUCGGCUAACUCCGUGCCAGCAGCCGCGGUAAUACGGAGGAUCCGAGCGUUAUCCGGAUUUAUUGGGUUUAAAGGGAGCGUAGGUGGAUUGUUAAGUCAGUUGUGAAAGUUUGCGGCUCAACCGUAUAAUUGCAGUUGAAACUGGAAGUCUUGAGUACAGGAGAGGUGGGCGGAAUUCGUGGUGUAGCGGUGAAAUGCUUAGAUAUCACGAAGAACUCCGAUUGCGAAGGCAGCUCACUGGACUGCAACUGACACUGAGGCUCGAAAGUGUGGGUAUCAAACAGGAUUAGAUACCCUUGUAGUC
rnacentral:rRNA from 1 species